UUUCUGGGACACCCCGUAUACUGUACUUAAAUAAUAGGGACCUUUUCUGUAAACAAGGUUAGGCAAUGUAUUUUAUUGUUAACUCAUUAUGGUAAUGAACUUCAUUAAUGUUCUUACUGUUGAAUUAAAUGCGUUAGAUAUUUAAUGACCAUAUUGUAAUAGAGUUUUGAUCGGCGUUACUCGCUAUAGUUCGGUACGGCAGCCGAGGAGGUGGCGGUAUUCGUCCUACGGGGUAUUUGUCCUACCAACCGAACGUCACUUCGGGCAUGUUCGGUAGUCCUAAAAAUUCCUGUUUCAGGAAUUUUGUCCUGGCUAACGUACUAAAUCUGUCAACGUCGCAUACUUUUCAAUCUUGUUUUGUUUUGGAAUUUGACAAGAUUAACCUCAGAAAAAGUUUAAAAUUAUAAUUUUAUGAACAUUGACGAAUAAUGUUAUGAAUAAUGUAAUAGAACCUGAUAUAAAAUAAUCCGGAAAUAUUUACAAAUAAAGCAUAAACAAAAUGAAAGUGAUAGCAACACGAUUACCUUUGAUAAUGUGUUUUUUAUAUAAGAAUACGUCUACAUGGGUUGAAAUCUCAGAAAAUAUUAAGCUAUCCACAAAUUCCUGAAAAUAAAUUAGCCGUGAUUUGCGGAAAAAAUGUUCUUAAUUAUUUUUCCCACAUGAUGUCCUUUCAGGUUCCAGGAAACAGCACGGGCAUGUAUUAGGCAUAAUAAGUAAUUAUAAAAAUAUGAGCAAAAAUGAGAUGGUUUAAAAGAGUGAAAAUUUUAAGGUUAAGAAAUCUGAAACUCAAAGGAAAACUGAUUAAAAACUGAUAAAUAAGUACCGUUAAACUGGAAAAGCAAACUACUAUACGCAUAAUACAAAAGACAAUUUAUCAUCUUUAAAACCAUAAGGCAUAUGAUAUAUGAGAUAGGUAGCACAAGGACAUAUCGGCAAGCCUUAGGUUGGUGUUUACGCGUGUAGGUGUGAAUCGCUAUGGUGAUCUGGUCGGAGAUAGAAAAAUAUAAAAUAUUUAUUACAUAACCACACUUAAUCUGAUGAUUUCCUAUGCAUUCAAUACCAAGUUCAAUACAUCUGAUUGUAAUAAGCAUAUUGGCCAUACUCUUCAUAUACAU